GCGAAAGUGAUCUUCGGGUUGUGAGUAGCGUGGCGCACGGGUGCGUAAGACGCGGGUGACCUAUCCACGAGGUGGGGAUACCCCUUCGAAAGAGGGGCUAAUACCGGAUGGGCCCACGGGCAGAGAUGUCCGCGGGCAAAGGGUGCUACUUGCUAGUGGCAUCUCUUCGUGGCGGGGCCCACGGCCUAUCAGCUAGUUGGUGUGGUAACGGCGCACCAAGGCGAAGACGGGUAGCUGGUCUGAGAGGAUGGCCAGCCACACGGGGACUGAGACACGGCCCCGACUCCUACGGGAGGCAGCAGUGGGGAAUCUUGGGCAAUGGGCGCAAGCCUGACCCAGCGACGCCGCGUGGGUGAUGAAGGCCUUCGGGUCGUAAAGCCCUGUCGGGUGGAAAGAACGACAAGAGGACGAAGAGUCUUCUUGUGUGACGGUACCACCGAAGGAAGCACCGGCCAAUUCCGUGCCAGCAGCCGCGGUAAGACGGAAGGUGCAAGCGUUGCUCGGAAUCAUUGGGCGUAAAGGGUGCGUAGGCGGCUUAGUGGGUCGGGUGUGAAAGCCCCGGGCUUAGCUCGGGAAGGGCACUCGAAACUGCUGAGCUAGAGUGCCGGAGGGGAGAGUGGAAUUCCUGGUGUAGCGGUGAAAUGCGUAGAGAUCAGGAGGAAUACCGGUGGCGAAAGCGACUCUCUGGA
rnacentral:rRNA from 1 species